CUGGGCUGCAAGACGGUCACUUUGUCCGCACCGUUAGUUAAGACUUUGUCAGUUGAAAACCUUUCUGAACACAACUGUUAAGUCUAGACUUGGGGUUGGUGUCCAGGGUAUGAGGUGUUUGUUUGUUUUAGAUCAGCACAGGUGAGCUUGUUGCUUAGUGACAAAGACAAAAUGAACAGAAUGCUUUGUGAUGACAGUUGGACAUUUCAGACUCCUACAGUAAAGUCAGGAGGAAACUAUCUCAUCCCAACUAUGAUCCCACUACUGGACGGCAGAAAUGAAACCACACAGAAGCCACGUGACAACGGGCUGACGCUGGUGUGCAGCCUGGUAAAACAGCACCAUCUGCCACCCCAGUGAGAGCAAGCUGACCCUGGCUGCUCAGUGUUCCAGUCAAGAGCAGUUUUCACACUGUAGUAACUUGGAAAUGUGCAGCCGUGUCGACAGAGACAAGAAGCCAAAGUAACAGGAACCUCACUUUCAUGCAGCUAUCAGAACGCAACUGAAAUGAAGACAGUGACAGAUAAGAUACACACAUAAACAAGGUCUCACUGCUGGGAUUAGGCUCUGUUCCCACUCUUUUGGUACACAUAAAAGAUGUUAGCAGGAAAGUACUACUAAUGGAAACUAUGAGGACUACUGGCUCAGCCGCUCCUGUGAGAAGCUGUUCCAUUCUCCACCGCCCCCCAGCAAUGCACAGCCCCACCUUUUCCAGCGCUUCACGGACCACUCUCUCUGUUUCACGCUUGUGGUCUGACUUCAUCCUGUCUUUAAAGUCAUUAAAAAUUUUGGUGUACUUGUCGUGGCACAUGCUCUGA